AUUUCAAAAUUCUGGAAAAAUCAGGCAGGGGAAAAAAGAUAAAUGCUUCACUUCUGUUUUCAAAAGUAUAAUCUACUAAAUUGUAUGUUACAGUUAGGUUAAGAGAAAGAGAUUUCUUAAGUCCAGAAACUAGAACAUUAAAGAACCAGCAAUGCUCCAAAAAGCUAUAAAAUUAUAAUCAAUUUUCAUCAGUUCAUUCAGUACCAUGUAAUCAAUUCCAGUCUUGUUGCAUCUUGGGUUAGCAGUGUCAUGAACCCAUCAAUUUCUGAAGCAGACUUCUGGAGAUCUUCACUGAGCGAAGUGUAUGGUCUUAAAGUUAUUUAAACAAUAUCAUCAGAAGCCUAUAACCAGACUAUCUUGCAUACUCUUUUCUGUGUGUCUCAGAGGGAAUCCCGUGAUGGAGAUGAACAUUCUGACCUGUAGCUGAUUGCAGGAGCUUUCAGGAAAGCAUCAGGGGGAAAUAAUAUCUAAAUGAUAAAGAAUAUGAAAUGGCUGUGAUGAAAGAUCUGAUGAGAGUUCAUUAUACCACAACUGACAAGGAUAUUCGAUUUUUUCUGUGGGAUACAACAUUUAUUUAUUUAUUUAUUUAUUUAGAGACAGAGUCUCGCUCUGUUGCCCAUGCUGGAGUGCAGUGGCGCUAUCUUGGCUCACUGCAAGCUCUGCCUCCCUGGUUCAUGCCAUUCUUCUGCCUCAGCCUCCUGAGUAGCUGGGAGUACAGGUGCCCACCACCACGCCUGGCUAAUUUUUUGUAUUUUUAGUAGAGAUGGGGUUUCACCAUGUCAGCCAGGAUGUUCUCGAUCUCCUGACCUUGUGAUCCACCUGCCUAGGCCUCCCAAAGUGCUGGGAUUACAGACGUGAGCCACUGCACCCAGCACAACAUUUAAAAUAAUAAUUGGAAUUAUGACUCAUAACUCUAUACUGGCACAUAGCAUGGAUAAGGAGAACAUUGACAAAUUUCCAGGAAUUUUAUAUAAUUUCUGAAAACAUGACAUUUUACCCAUACAAAUAUAACACAGGGAAGGCUAGGUAUCUCUUUUUAUUUGUAUCUUUUGUAUGGUUUUCCUUAUAAAAAAUACGUCCUACUUUACUUGCAAAACAUGCACUACUUUUCUUGCAUGCUUUGCAUAGAGUUGUUUCUAGUUAUUCUAUUAUUUCCAGUAGUUUUAUUUACACAUAUUGAUUAUAAUUUUAAUACUUAGUAAUCUUUUAUUUUCCAGAGAAAACUAGCGCCUGCGCCGCGGCGGCGUCCGUCUCUGCGCCUGCGCCGCGGCGGCGUCCGUCUCUGCGCCUGCGCCGCGGCGGCGUCCGUCUCUGCGCCUGCGCCGCGGCGGCGUCCGUCUCUGCGCCUGCGCCGCGCCCGCCUCCGUCUCUGCGCCUGCGCCGCGCCCGCCUCCGUCUCUGCGCCUGUGCCUGCGCCACGCCCCCCGCCCCGCGCUGGCGUUUUUCUCUGCGCCUGCGCCGCGCCACCAUCCGU
rnacentral:lncRNA from 1 species